UGGGGUUUAAAGGGUAACACCGGCUACGGAUGGCCAUGCGGCGCAUUAGCUAGUUGGCGAGGUAACGGCCCACCAAGGCGACGAUGCGUAGGGGUUCUGAGAGGAAGGUCCCCCACACUGGUACUGAGACACGGACCAGACUCCUACGGGAGGCAGCAGUGAGGAAUAUUGGUCAAUGGGCGCGAGCCUGAACCAGCCAAGUCGCGUGAGGGAAGACGGUCCUAUGGAUUGUAAACCUCUUUUGUCGGGGAGCAAAAGACGCCACGCGUGGCGUUCCGAGAGUACCCGAAGAAAAAGCAUCGGCUAACUCCGUGCCAGCAGCCGCGGUAAUACGGAGGAUGCGAGCGUUAUCCGGAUUUAUUGGGUUUAAAGGGUGCGCAGGCGGAAGAUCAAGUCAGCGGUAAAAUUGAGAGGCUCAACCUCUUCGAGCCGUUGAAACUGGUUUUCUUGAGUGAGCGAGAAGUAUGCGGAAUGCGUGGUGUAGCGGUGAAAUGCAUAGAUAUCACGCAGAACUCCGAUUGCGAAGGCAGCAUACCGGCGCUCAACUGACGCUCAUGCACGAAAGUGUGGGUAUCGAACAGGAUUAGAUACCCUGGUAGUCCACACAGUAAACGAUGAAUAAUAAUUGUUCGGG
rnacentral:rRNA from 1 species